rnacentral:misc_RNA from 1 species
CGCGACAGCAUUUGGCCCUCCCGCGUCGCUCGCUCAUUUCCUUUAUUUCUGAUUUCACGCGUCAACACGCCGUUCUUUCUAUCAAGAAAAACAACAAUAACACUCCCCCCACUGCCACAGAAACACACACGCACGCUUUCGCCUCUCACACACGACUUGAAAGAAAACAAAAGCAGCGCUGUCGCUUCGUGUUCUUUCUUUUCCCUUUUUCUUUUUCAUUUUACUCUCUUCAGUUCACUCAAAUGGCUGCUGCUGUCCAGGAAGCUGCUGCCCCGGUGGCACAUCAGCCGCAGAUGGACAAGCCGAUGCAGAUCGCUUCCAUCUACGUUGGCGACCUUGAUGCCGCCAUCAACGAGCCGCAGCUGGUGGAGCUGUUCAAGCCGUUUGGCACCAUUCUGAACGUGCGUGUUUGCCGCGACAUCAUCACACAGCGCUCGCUGGGCUACGGCUACGUCAACUUCGACAACCACGACAGCGCGGAGAAGGCGAUCGAGUCCAUGAACUUCAAGCGUGUGGGUGACAAAUGCGUACGCCUCAUGUGGCAGCAGCGCGACCCCGCCCUCCGCUACAGCGGCAACGGCAACGUGUUCGUGAAGAACCUGGAGAAGGACGUGGACAGCAAGAGCCUGCACGACAUCUUCACCAAGUUCGGCUCGAUUCUAUCCUGCAAGGUAAUGCAGGACGAGGAGGGCAAGAGCCGCGGCUACGGCUUCGUUCACUUCAAAGACGAGACGUCCGCCAAGGACGCCAUUGUGAAGAUGAACGGCGCUGCCGAUCACGCCUCAGAGGACAAGAAGGCGCUCUACGUGGCCAACUUCAUUCGCCGCAAUGCACGCCUUGCCGCGCUCGUGGCAAACUUCACGAAUGUGUAUAUCAAGCAGGUGCUGCCGACAGUGAACAAGGAAGUCAUCGAGAAGUUCUUCGCAAAGUUCGGCGGCAUCACUUCCGCUGCAGCCUGCAAGGACAAGAGCGGCCGCGUGUUCGCCUUCUGCAACUUCGAGAAGCACGACGACGCCGUCAAGGCGGUCGAAGCGAUGCACGACCAUCACAUCGACGGCAUCACGGCACCUGGUGAGAAGCUGUACGUACAGCGUGCCCAGCCGCGCAGCGAGCGCCUCAUCGCCCUUCGACAGAAGUACAUGCAGCACCAAUCCCUUGGCAACAACCUGUACGUGCGCAACUUCGACCCUGAGUUCACGGGCGCGGACCUGCUCGAGCUCUUCAAGGAGUACGGCGAAGUCAAGAGCUGCCGUGUGAUGGUGAGCGAGAGUGGCGCGAGCCGCGGCUUCGGUUUCGUGAGUUUCUCGAAUGCCGACGAGGCCAACGCCGCUCUUCGCGAGAUGAACGGUCGCAUGCUGAACGGCAAGCCCCUCAUCGUCAACAUUGCUCAGCGCCGCGACCAGCGCUACACGAUGCUGCGCCUGCAGUUCCAGCAGCGCCUGCAGAUGAUGAUGCGCCAGAUGCACCAGCCGAUGCCGUUCGUCGGCGGCCAGGGCCGUCCGAUGCGUGGCCGCGGUGGUCGCCAGCAGCUGGGUGGCCGCGCGCAGGGCCAUCCGAUGCCGAUGCCCUCACCACAGCAGCCGCAGGCGCCGGCGCAGCCACAGGGCUUCGCCACGCCAUCGGCCGUCGGUUUCGUGCAGGCGACGCCGAAGCACUCCCCCGGUGAUGUCCCCGAGACGCCGCCGUUGCCGCCGAUCACACCACAGGAGCUCGAAAGCAUGUCGCCCCAGGAACAGCGAGCCGCCUUGGGUGACCGUCUCUUCCUGAAGGUGUACGAGAUUGCGCCAGAGCUGGCGCCGAAGAUCACGGGUAUGUUCCUCGAGAUGAAACCCAAGGAGGCCUACGAGUUGCUCAACGACCAGAAGCGACUCGAGGAGCGCGUGACGGAGGCGCUAUGCGUGCUCAAGGCGCAUCAGACGGCGUAAGCGAGAAGCCAGCAGGCGCCGUUGUGUCGGGCAUGGGCAGAGGAAAAGCCCGCGCUCUUGCAUACCGCGCCUCACCUCAGCAGUUCUCAGACUAUGGUCCCCUUCUCUUCUUUCCCGCCACCUCACCCCUCUCACGAGUCUGUUUGCUACGAGGCCGUGAGAGAGAGGGGUUGAGUGGGCGACUUUGUGUGCCUGUCUAUGUAUACGUAAAGGCUGACGUUGUGCUUGUGCUGUUGAUGCUGAUCGGGAGAGGGAGCGGAAGGCCUCACGGAUGACUAGGUUUGUGCCUUUUUUCUUGCCCGCACAAUUCUGAAGUGUAGGCCGCCUUUCGCUUCUUUGGCUUCUCUCAUGGUGUUGGUGCCCCCCCCCCUACCACCCACUUCUGUUUACGGAUGAAGGAUGAGUGGUUAAGUGAGAUAAAAGGCGCGUAAGUCAUGGCGCUGUGCUCUCUCUCCCUAUCUUUUCUGUUUCGUUUCGUGCCCAUCAUUUUUUCUUCGCGCGGUCAUGCCUGUCUCUAGCCGCCUGUUUUCGUCAAUGCCACCCUUCCCUUCCACAGCCUGCCUCUUGUAAGUGUGCAUGGGCAGUGUGGUGCGAGCAGCAGCGACGCGCAGAGGAAAAAAGGAGGAAGCAAAUUCGUGUAAGAGUGACGGAGGGCAAGAAGAGCGUUGGCGGGUACGACAACGAGAUGCUCCUAAAACUGCCGCCCCGCCCCUCCCCUCCCUCCUGCGGCUGAUGAGCACGUGAACAAGCCGAAAGAACACAAGAAAACAAAAAGGAAGUAAAAGAAAACAAAGAGAAAAAUUAUACAAAAGGAAGAAGGUUGUGAAAGGAGGUGAAGUGGCAGAGGAUGAUCGAUCACGUGGCCGGGCGAACGUUGGAAACAGCGUAACGUCCGUCGUGGAUGUCACGUGUGACGUGCACGGGCUUUCUUUUUGCCCACUUUGCCGUUCGGCCCUUCGCUCUUCCUCUCCUUCUUUUUUUCGUUCAGUCGACAUUUUCUUUUGUUUGUUUUUUUCCGCCCUCUUUCUUUCAUGCGUGCGUGCGCCUUCCUUUCGUUUCUUCGGCCUGUUCUCUCCCUCUGUGUUCUCACUCUCCUUUCUGCGUUGUCCUCCGCCUUUGCGGUGCCCCUCUCAUUGGUUCCAUUUUUUACGUUCCUCCUAAUCUUUUCUGAUAAGCCCACUUAACGCACGAAAAAG